CAGAGCACGAAAAAGGAUGUAGGUCUGGCAGCCCUGGGUUCUGUGCCUCCAGUUUCUGUCCAUGGAAGAGCCCUGCUAACAACUCCUCCUAUGAUGUUGGUGACGUGAUGCAGAAGGCAUCAACUGCCUUGACUUGAAACCUGCUGACUUGCUGACUUGAAACCUGAAACAUGUGUGCUUUGCUCCCAGCCUGCUUCUGCUCAGUCUUCAGGACCACUCUGUUGCAGGGGUUUCACAGCAGAGAUCUGAGAGGUGGUGGUGUGCUUCCAGUCGACAGCCAACCCUCUGGAAAAGGUUUGGAAGGAGUGGAUGCCUGAGGUAGCAGUCACAGGGAUGUAGUUGAGACAUCGCGCAACUGGUGA
rnacentral:lncRNA from 1 species